UUUAGCUUGGUGACCAAGUCUCAUUCUUAACAAGAAUUAAUGACUUUUGACCAAGUUUUAUUCUCUAAAAGAUUUGUUUAUUUUUCUAACCAAAUUUUUAUUUAUGUAGUGAUCAAUUACAUAAAAUAAAACUUUGAUAUAAAAAUAUAGGUUGUUGGAUCAUGAUCCAUGUACCCGAACCAUUAUCUAAACCAAACUCAAGUCCGAGUUCCAAUUGACUCAACUUGGUGCCCGCGCUUGGUUUAGUAUAAAUUCACAUCUCUAUAAUUGUCUAAGGUUAGCAACCUUGUUAGACUUCUCCGUACUGUCCAUUUGUGCUAUUAAAGCAACAAUCUUAGGACAAACAUUUCU
rnacentral:lncRNA from 1 species